rnacentral:rRNA from 1 species
UCGGGAAUUUUGGGCAAUGGGCGAAAGCCUGACCCAGCAACGCCGCGUGAAGGAUGAAAUCCUUCGGGAUGUAAACUUCGCAAGAACGGGAAGAAUAAGUGAGAGCUAACAUCUCUUACGAUGACGGUACUGUUUGUAAGCUCCGGCUAACUCCGUGCCAGCAGCCGCGGUAAUACGUAGGCAGCAAGCGUUGUUCGGAAUUACUGGGCGUAAAGAGUGUGUAGGCGGUGCUCUAAGUUCGUUGUGAAAUCUCCCGGCUUAACUGGGAGGGUGCGGCGGAAACUGGAGUGCUCGAGCGCGGGAGAGGAAAGCGGAAUUCCUGGUGUAGCGGUGAAAUGCGUAGAUAUCAGGAGGAACACCUGUGGUGUAGACAGCUUUCUGGACCGUAGCUGACGCUGAGACACGAAAGCGUGGGUAGCAAAC